rnacentral:rRNA from 1 species
AGAGUUUGAUCCUGGCUCAGGAUGAACGCUAGCUACAGGCUUAACACAUGCAAGUCGAGGGGCAGCAUGGUCUUAGCUUGCUAAGGCCGAUGGCGACCGGCGCACGGGUGAGUAACACGUAUCCAACCUGCCGUCUACUCUUGGACAGCCUUCUGAAAGGAAGAUUAAUACAAGAUGGCAUCAUGAGUCCACAUGUUCACAUGAUUAAAGGUAUUCCGGUAGACGAUGGGGAUGCGUUCCAUUAGAUAGUAGGCGGGGUAACGGCCCACCUAGUCUUCGAUGGAUAGGGGUUCUGAGAGGAAGGUCCCCCACAUUGGAACUGAGACACGGUCCAAACUCCUACGGGAGGCAGCAGUGAGGAAUAUUGGUCAAUGGGCGAGAGCCUGAACCAGCCAAGUAGCGUGAAGGAUGACUGCCCUAUGGGUUGUAAACUUCUUUUAUAAAGGAAUAAAGUCGGGUAUGCAUACCCGUUUGCAUGUACUUUAUGAAUAAGGAUCGGCUAACUCCGUGCCAGCAGCCGCGGUAAUACGGAGGAUCCGAGCGUUAUCCGGAUUUAUUGGGUUUAAAGGGAGCGUAGAUGGAUGUUUAAGUCAGUUGUGAAAGUUUGCGGCUCAACCGUAAAAUUGCAGUUGAUACUGGAUGUCUUGAGUGCAGUUGAGGCAGGCGGAAUUCGUGGUGUAGCGGUGAAAUGCUUAGAUAUCACGAAGAACUCCGAUUGCGAAGGCAGCCUGCUAAGCUGCAACUGACAUUGAGGCUCGAAAGUGUGGGUAUCAAACAGGAUUAGAUACCCUGGUAGUCCACACGGUAAACGAUGAAUACUCGCUGUUUGCGAUAUACUGCAAGCGGCCAAGCGAAAGCGUUAAGUAUUCCACCUGGGGAGUACGCCGGCAACGGUGAAACUCAAAGGAAUUGACGGGGGCCCGCACAAGCGGAGGAACAUGUGGUUUAAUUCGAUGAUACGCGAGGAACCUUACCCGGGCUUAAAUUGCAGAUGAAUUACGGUGAAAGCCGUAAGCCGCAAGGCAUCUGUGAAGGUGCUGCAUGGUUGUCGUCAGCUCGUGCCGUGAGGUGUCGGCUUAAGUGCCAUAACGAGCGCAACCCUUGUUGUCAGUUACUAACAGGUUCUGCUGAGGACUCUGACAAGACUGCCAUCGUAAGAUGUGAGGAAGGUGGGGAUGACGUCAAAUCAGCACGGCCCUUACGUCCGGGGCUACACACGUGUUACAAUGGGGGGUACAGAGGGCCGCUACCACGCGAGUGGAUGCCAAUCCCAAAAACCUCUCUCAGUUCGGACUGGAGUCUGCAACCCGACUCCACGAAGCUGGAUUCGCUAGUAAUCGCGCAUCAGCCACGGCGCGGUGAAUACGUUCCCGGGCCUUGUACACACCGCCCGUCAAGCCAUGGGAGCCGGGGGUACCUGAAGUGCGUAACCGCGAGGAGCGCCCUAGGGUAAAACUGGUGACUGGGGCUAAGUCGUAACAAGGUAGCC